CCGGCCAGGUGACGUGUUUGUUGGCGGUUGAGAGAAGCGCGCGGCUGCCGGAGUCACAGAGCACAUUUCAGGUCUGCCCCGGUGGAGUGACAGCUAGAGCCGUACGACACACACAAGACCCGAGGUGGUUCAACAUUCUCACUUCUACUAAACACCGAACAGGAAAACACACUUCUCAACAUGAAGGUUGCUAUGGUGAUUUUGGGUCUUGCUGUCGUAUUCCUGAUGGCCUGGACUGCGCAUGCCCAAACAACAAAUGCGACCGCCGCUGCGACGACUGCGGCACCCACUACGCCAAGUGGUGCGGAAACCGUUGUGGGCGCAACCACUCUGCUGAUGGGGGCCCUCCUCCUCAACGCCGCUCGCGAGGCCCUCGGCUGGUGAAAGAGCUGCCUGGUCAACGGCGCCGCCUAGUGGACAUAUUGUGUAGCUGCAGUCCGACUGCAGUGGAAGGAUGUCCGCUUGGUGUCUAUGAGUUCUACACUAUUUUCUAUAUAUUACAGCAAGUUUGACAUGUAACGCCAUGUGUGCAUGAGAACGGUGUUGACAAUCUUCACUAUUUCGGUACAAUCGUUUGUGUGUCUUACAGAAAAUGGGAGCAAAUGAAGGCCAGAGGAAAACUUCCUUUGGCCCGAAAAGCUCUCCUUUUGCUGCUUGAAGAAUCUUUUUUUGUGAACAUGAAAAUAUUGUGUAGAAAGGAACUGAUUUUUGUUGUUGACGUGCUUUGUACUAAAAUCUAUUAGAAGAUUGAUUAUUGGUGAGCAUUUUUUGACAAAUUCAAUCAAACAUACCGCACUAACUUAACUGUGUAAACUUUAUAUAACACUGUCAACAUGUGUUUCAUCUAUACCUGAGUGAAAAUCUUAUAACAUAGAAAAAAUAUCAAUCAAGUAACUAUUCACAGAUCUUUUGACAGGAAUUUGGAUAUUGUACAAGACCUUGAGUCAAAAAAAAAGUUAUGAUGUGCGAGUGGCCUUGUCACACUGGGGGACAACACCAUGGUGUGAUGUGUUUGUGUAUCUUUUGGAAAUAA